GGGCGAGUAGUUCAGUUGGUUAGAGCGCAACCCUGAUAAGGUUGAUGUCAGAGGUUCAAAUCCUCUUUCGCCCACCA
rnacentral:tRNA from 1 species